rnacentral:rRNA from 1 species
GACGAACGCUGGCGGCGUGCUUAACACAUGCAAGUCGAGCGGAAAGGCCUUUUCGGAGGUACUCGAGUGGCGAACGGGUGAGUAACACGUGGGUGAUCUGCCCUGCACUCUGGGAUAAGCCUGGGAAACUGGGUCUAAUACCGGAUAGGACCGCACUUUAGUGUGUGUGGUGGAAAGUUUUUUCGGUGUAGGAUGAGCCCGCGGCCUAUCAGCUUGUUGGUGGGGUAAUGGCCUACCAAGGCGGCGACGGGUAGCCGGACUGAGAGGUUGGUCGGCCACAUUGGGACUGAGAUACGGCCCAGACUCCUACGGGAGGCAGCAGUGGGGAAUAUUGCACAAUGGGCGCAAGCCUGAUGCAGCGACGCCGCGUGGGGGAUGACGGCCUUCGGGUUGUAAACUCCUUUCGCCAGGGACGAAGCGUUUUGUGACGGUACCUGGAGAAGAAGCACCGGCUAACUACGUG